rnacentral:rRNA from 1 species
GAUGAACGCUGGCGGCGUGCCUAAUACAUGCAAGUCGAGCGAAUGGAUUAAGAGCUUGCUCUUAUGAAGUUAGCGGCGGACGGGUGAGUAACACGUGGGUAACCUGCCCAUAAGACUGGGAUAACUCCGGGAAACCGGGGCUAAUACCGGAUAAUAUUUUGAACUGCAUGGUUCAAAAUUGAAAGGCGGCUUCGCCUGUAACUGAUGGAUGGACCCGCGUCGCAUUAGCCAGUUGGUGAGGUAACGGCUCACCAAGGCAACGAUGCGUAGCCGAACUGAGAGGGUGAUCGGCCACACUGGGACUGAGACACGGCCCAGACGCCGACGGGAGGCAGCAGUGGGGAAUCUUCCGCAAUGGACGAAAGUCUGACGGAGCAACGCCGCGUGAGUGAUGAAGGCUUUCGGGUCGUAAAACUCUGUUGUUAGGGAAGAACAAGUGCUAGUUGAAUAAGCUGGCACCUUGACGGUACCUAACCAGAAAGCCACGGCUAACUACGUGCCAGCCGCCGCAGUAA